UACGUAGGGUGCAAGCGUUAAUCGGAAUUACUGGGCGUAAAGCGUGCGCAGGCGGUUGUGCAAGACAGAUGUGAAAUCCCCGGGCUUAACCUGGGAACUGCAUUUGUGACUGCAAGGCUAGAGUGUGUCAGAGGGAGGUGGAAUUCCGCGUGUAGCAGUGAAAUGCGUAGAGAUGCGGAGGAACACCGAUGGCGAAGGCAGCCUCCUGGGAUAACACUGACGCUCAUGCACGAAAGCGUGGGGAGCAAACAGG
rnacentral:rRNA from 1 species